GAUGAACGCUGGCGGCGUGCCUAAUACAUGCAAGUCGAACGCUCCGAGAAGGGAACUUGUUCCUUUCAACGCGAGUGGCGAACGGGUGAGUAACACGUGGGAAACCUACCCUUCAGCGGGGGAUAACCAUCGGAAACGAUGACUAAUACCACAUAGUUGUUCCAGUCGCAUGACUGGAAUGAGAAAGACUGCUUCGGCUGUCACUGAAGGCUGGUCCCGCGUUGCAUUAGCUAGACGGUGGGGUACCGGCCUACCGUGGCUUUGAUGCAUAGCCGACCUGAGAGGGGGAUCGGCAACAUUGGGACGGAGACACGGCCAAAACUCCUACGGGAGGCAGCAGUAGGGAAUCUUCCGCAAUGGACGCAAGUCUGACGGAGCAACGCCGCGUGUGUGAAGAAGGUCUUCGGAUCGUAAAGCACUGUUAUAAGAGAAGAAGAGCCUAUAGAGUAACUGUUAUAGGUGUGACGGUAACUUAUCAGAAAGCCACGGCUAACUACGUG
rnacentral:rRNA from 1 species